GUCCCCGUAGCUCAAUGGAUUGAGCAGUCCCGUCCUAAGGGAAAGAUUGUUGGUUCGACUCCAAUCGGGGACG
rnacentral:tRNA from 1 species